UGUGCAAGUACUGGAAAACAGAUAACACUAUCAGGGCAGGUGUCAGAUUGCACCUGGCUCAGCAGCCAAUGAGAGAAUUCAGAGCACAGUUCCUAGUUCCUGACCUCUGGUGUGCACCUGUGCGCACAUUCUCAGGAAGCUCCCAUGUUGCCAGGGAUCACAACAACAGUGGGACAAAACAUCGCAGUGGUCUAGAAUCAACUCAGCACAGCUAGAAGUGUCAACACGACUUGAGCAUUGAAGAUGUUGCGAUUGCUGUUUCUGUGUUUGAUUGUGACUCUGCAAGGAGCUGCUGGUACGUAUCACAUGUUCUCACCUUCCCACAAUGCUCUGGCAGCAGACACUGAGACACUGACAAAGAUCUAAUCACACAGAUCACCUUUUUAUUGUUUUUAUGCCUGUAUGUGUUCCAUACGAGAAAUAUACACCGUCUCUCUCUGAGUCCUAUAGCUUCCAGGGGUAGCAGAAUAUUAAGAGGAAAACUGCUUAGAAGAACCUAGGCUGAUACUUAAGAUAGCCUGCAAAGUUCUGUCAUACUUUCCAGGUCUAUGCCCAAACAGUUCCAGCUUCUAAUUUAAAAAAUGAAUCUCUCCAGAAAUAAGUCGCUCACUGUUGUCUCCUGUUAUAGACCCCUCUCAGCUCCCAGCUGUGCUCUGGACUCCAUAUGUGAAUUGAUUGCCCCCCAUCUAUCUUCAGAGUUCAUUCUGUUAGGUGACGGAAACUGGGAUAUGCUUAACAACCCGGCAGUCCUACAAUCUAAACUAGAUGCCCUCAAUCUCACACAAAUGAUCAAGGAACCCACCAGGUACAACCCUAAAUCUGUAAACAUGGGCACCCUCAUAGAUAUUAUCCUCACCAGGAUCUCAGUGAUCACUGCCUCAUUGCCUGCAUCCGCCAUGGGUCCGUGGUCAAACAACCACCACUCAUUACUGUCAAACGCUCCCUAAAAAAACCUCUGUGAGCAGGCCUUUCUAAUCGACCUGGCCUGGGUAUACGGGAAAGAUAUUGACCUCAUCCCAUCAGUCGUUCUUUAAAAGUAAUUUCCUCACCAUCCUAAAUAAACAUGCCCCUUCAAAACAAUGUAGAACUAAGAACAGAUAAAGCCCUUGGUUCACUCCAGACCUGACUGCCCUCGACCAGCACAAAAACAUCCUGUGGCGGACUGCACUAGCAUCGAAUAGUCACCGCGAUAUGCAACUUUUCAGGGAAGUCAGGAAUCAAAACACGCACUCAGGCCGGCAAGCGAAGGCUAGCUUAUUCAAACAGAAAUUUGCAUCCUGUAGCUCUAACUCCAAAAAGUUUUGGGACACUUUAAGGCCACGGAGAACAAGAGCACCUCCUCCCAGCUGCCCACUGCACUGAGUCUAGGUAGUACUGUCACCACCAAUAAAUCCACGAUAAUCGGGAAUUUAAAUAAGCAUUUCUCUACGGCUGGCCAUGCUUUCAUCCUGGCUACCCCAACCCCGGCCAACAGCUCCACACCCCCCGCAGCUACUUUCCCAAGCCUCCCCAGCUUCUCCUUCACCCAAAUCCAGAUAGCAGAUGUUCUGAAAGAGCUGCAAAACUUGGUCCCCUACAAAUCAGCUGGGAUAGACAAUCUGGACCCUCUCUUUCUAAAAUUAUCCGCCGCCAUUGUUGCAACCCCUAUUACCAGUCUGUUCAACCUCUCUUUCCUUUCAUCUGCGAUCCCUACAGAUUGGAAAGCAGCCGCGUCAUCCCCUUCUUCAAAGGGGGUGACAAUCUAGACCCAAACUGUUAUAGACCUAUAUCCAUCCUGCCCUGCCAUUCUAAAGUCUUCAAAAGCCAAGUUAAUAAACAGAUCAUUGACCCUUUCGAAUCCCACUGUACCUUCUCUGCUGUACAAUCCGGUUUCCGAGCUGGUUACGGGUACACCUCAACAAUGCUCAAGGUACUAAACGAUAUGAUAACCGCUAUCGAUAAAAGACAGUACUGUAGAGCCGUCUUCAUCGACCUGGCCAAGGCUGUCGACUCUGUCAAUCACCACAUUCUUAUUCUUAUCGGCAGACUCAACAGCCUUGGUUUCUCAAAUGACUGCCUCGCCUGGUUCAACAACUACUUCUCAGACAGAGUUCAGUGUGUCAAAUCGGAGGGCCUGUUGUCCGGACCUCUGGCAUUCUCUAUGGGGGUAUGACAGGGUUCAAUUCUUGGGCCGACUCUUUUCUCUGUAUAUAUCACUGAUGUCGCUCUUGCUGCGGGUGAUUCCCUGAUCCACCUCUAUGCAGACUACACCAUUCUGUAUACAUCUGGCCCUUCUUUGGGCACUGUGUUAACUCACCUCCAAGCGAGCUCCAAUGCCAUACAACACUCCUUCCGUGGCCUGCAACUGCUCUUAAACGCUAGUAAAAUUAAAUGCAUGCUUUUCAAACGUUCGCUGCUCGCACCUGCCCACCAGCCCAGUAUCACUACUCUGGGCAGUUCUGACUUAGAAUAUGUGGACAACUACAAAUACCUAGGUGUCUGGCUAGACUGCAAACUCGCCGUCCAGACUCAUAUUAAACAUCUCCAAUCCAAAAUCAAAUCUAGAAUCGGCUUCCUUUUUCGCAACAAAACCUCCUUUACUCACACCGCCAAACAUACCCUCGUAAAACUGACUAUCCUACAGAUCCUCGACUUCGGCGAUGCCAUUUACAAAAUAGCCUCCAACACUCUACUCAGCAAACUGGAUGUGGUCUAUCACAGUGCCAUCCGUUUUGUCACCAAAGCCCCUUAUACCACCCACCACUGCGACCUGUAUGCUCUAGUCGGCUGGCCCUCGCUACAUAUUCGUCGCCAGACCCACUGGCUCCAGGUCAUCUAUAAGUCUAUGCUAAGUAAAUCUCCGCCAUAACUCCACUCACUGGUCACGAUAACAACACUCACCCGUGGCACGCGCUCCAGCAGGUAUAUCUCACCGGUCAUCCCCAAAGCCAACACCUCUUUGGCUGCCUUUCCUUCCAGUUCUCUGCUGCCAAUGACUGGAACGAAUUGCAAAAAUCACUGAAGCUGGAGACUAUUCCCCUCACUAACUUUAACCAUCAGCUAUCUGAGCAGCUAACUGAUCGCUGCAGCUGUACAUAACCCAUCUGUAAAUAGCCCACCCAAUCUACCUACCUCAUCCCCAUAUUGUUUUUAUUUACUUUUCUGAUCUUUUUCACACCAAUAUUUCUAUUUACACAUCAUCAUCUACACAUCUAUCACUCCAGUGUUAAUUUGCUAAAUUGUAAUUACUUCGCCACUAUGGCCUAUUUAUUGCCUUGCGAGGGCGCCAUUUGCACACACUGUAUAUAGACUUUCUUUUUUUCUAUUGUGUUAUUGACUGUACGCUUGUUUAUUCCAUGUGUAACUCUGCGUUGUUGUUUCUGUCACACUGCUUUGCUUUAUCUUGGCCAGGUCACAGUUGUAAAUGAAAACUUGUUCUCAACUAGCCUACCUGGUUAAAUAAAGGUGAAAUAUAAAAAUUAAAGUAUAUGUUUAGGAAAGAAUACAUAUACAUUAUAUAAACCACAGUUCAACAUAAAGAAGAUAUGAACCUGUAUAUGCUACAGUAGUGUUUUACUAUCUAUCUAAAGGUGUAGUUAGUUAUUUCCACAAAACUCUGAAACUGGUAAUAUUAAGAUGGCUACCUUUACCAUGAGCUAAAUGCCCUAGCCACAGAAGUAUGGAGUUCAUGAGUGAGUAUAUCAUUGAAUGGAUGGCAGCUCAAUCAUUCUGUAUAUCCCACAGUAGGAGUUCAUAGGAGAGUAGCUCUGCUCCCGUAUAGUGCAGAGAUGUAACGAAUAACCUUAGUGAUGUACAGUAAGAAGCUGCUGUGAGUUAAUCUGGUCCCAUCCUCCUGUCACGGUAGUUAAAAGAAGAGGUUCUCAAUCAGAGACGACAGACAGCUGUCCCUGAUUGAGAACCCUACCCGGCCAAAACAUAGAAAUACAAAUAAUAGAACAUAGAAUACCCACCCCAAAUCACACCCUGGGCGUGACACCUCCCCAUCUCUAUUCCCAUACAGCUUCCUCAGAAGAGAGUGAAGGAUCAGCAGACGUAGCAGACGGAGACGAUGAAGAUCUAUUCAAGCAAAACGUGAUCCCAAAUCUCAGGAAUGAUUACGUGGUUAUCGAACCUGAAACAAAUGAUAUUGUGGACACAAACAAGGCAACAGGAGAAAAAGUAGGGGAAGAUGGAUUUACUACCAUUGUCAUCAUCGUAGCCGUGAGUGUGGUGGCACUGUCAAUCGCAGUGAUAGUAGCCAUAGUGCUGGUCCGGCGCCGCAUGCACAACCGACCACAAGGGAUCUACUCAGUGCCUACAGAACAGGGAAUGAAAGGAACGGUCUAACCACAAGAUGAGCUCCAGUCCAAUUGGACACCUGCAGGGGAGGAGCUCUACAACACACUGACCUUUGACUCAGGAAGGGAACACUUUCCACCCCAGCCUGCUCUUACUGAACCACUCCCUACUGCUCUCCUCUCUGGGACCAUCUGUUACUGUGUCAUGGGUCCCCUCCAAAGCCAGUGUAACUUAGUUUCCUAUAUUUGGUCUGUUGUUCAUUUUUGUGCCACAUAUCUCAAUGUAUGUGUGUAUAUUUAAAAGGGCAUUCUGCAGUUGCUAAAUCCAUUUCUGGAUGUACUCAUUGAUUCUUGAAUAAUAUAUAUGCCUCAGUUCAACUGUCGUGCCCCAUCAGAACCCAAAACAUAAGCUUGUUUUAUGCCAAUGUUAGCAAACAAAGUAUGUUUAAACAAAUGCUAUAUAGCCUCAAAACAUGGUUAAAACUAUGAUUUUGAUAUCACGGAUAGUCAGUCUUUGCAUCCAUAGCUCAUAGCCUAUGAAUUUGAGAAUGGUUAUAUUUCUCUGGCCCCAUCCCUCAGUUUUUUACCAAAAUAGGGAGAGAACGCUUUAUUGUUUCAACUACGGAUUAUCCCUUUAUGCUUGGGACACAUAGCAACAUUUGGAACCUAAGUUUUGUCAUUGGAUUCUAUUGAAAAACCCUGAAGCCAAUGAAUGUGACCAAAUGUGACAAACUCCUUUUGUCCAAUGGCAUAUUUUUCAAGAAAAACAAGUAUUGCUAAAAGUCAUUUGCAAUUGUUCCGACAGGUUUCUCCGCUCCUUCACUAAACUAAACUGUAUUCAGAGUUGAUUUGGUGCAUUCAGAACAGGCUUUUUUUGCAUGAGAAAAACAAGUUUAAUCCACCCUAAACCAACCCAGUCCUCUCUAAAUUUCCCCAUUCAACUCUGUGACAUAUCCUGUCCUUGGCCUCUUAGUGACAACAGAAAAUACAGUUGAAAGAUAAAACUCUCCCAUCUUCUCAACCUCUGAAGGGGAAAAAAGGAAAAAAAAUGGGUGGAAAAAGCCAGUCAGGUCUGUUUGAACAUUCACUUGAGGUGGAGAAUUAAUCAACUUUAGUGAAUGAUGUUUUCUUUUCAACUCCCCCCAUUCUCUUUUUCUUUUUGAAAUGCUUUUGUUCAAAACGUCAACCACAUCACCGAUUGUAAAUUGCUCUCGGAUGGCUGAGGAAAGUCUGAUUUGAAUGGUUUAUAGUGCUGGGACAGGGACGGGGAUGGGGACGGGGACCGGGGGAUAGAGAGGAUAAAAUAAAGUGUGGGGGUAGGUAGGGUGGGAUGUGAGUGGGGAAAUACCCACCAUGCCCAUGUUUCAUUCAUACUGAGUACAGGGCCGCUCCACGAUCGCUCCCUGGCUCUACUUUCAUUUAAAUGGAAAUCAAUCAUGCCCCGUGAACAAAAGCUUUAGGGCCGAGGUGCUGGCUGGCUUAUUUCUUACUCUGCAUUACAGAGAAAGGCAGGGGUCAGAGGAGAGGGGGAGGUGGACAUUAUGUGCUUCUGCAUGACAGGGCUAUUCAUUUGUUGCGUUAUCAUGAGGGAACAAGGGUUGUUGUGAGUGUGUGUGAAUUACACCCACGAUCAAGUAGUGUUGAAAUAACUGGGUCUGUCUAAACAGCAUGCGCACUGUCUUUCUCCACUCAACCUUACUGCUGUGAUGUCAUCAGCUGGGGAUGGGCUUGGCUCCAGGCUGUACAGAAACACCUGUGUAAUUAGCGCCUCCAUCUCAUUUUGUGUUAUCUGGUUCACUCAAUCAGAAUUGUCCCAAUCUGUUUAAGUUGAUGAAAUUCAAUUAGUAGCUGGUGCUGCUAAUAGUGAGAAACAGAUCCUAAAUGCAUACGGAGUGGUAUGUGUGUGUCUGCACUCUGCAGGUGUUUGUGGGGUUUGAUUGAAGCAUCACAACUAGCCCAGUAAGCCUUUCUUAGAUGUAGUCUAGCUCUGACAGCAUUUCAAAAGGAGAAUAAUUUGACAUACAUUUAAAAGAACUUUCACUUACCCUUUGUUUACUGACCACAGUCAUAUUCAAGAAAGCCUUUUUCCCUACUCAGAAAUAGCAUGAGAAAUACCCUUCACCUGCAAAGCAGAUGUUGUGGUUACGAGUCUGCGACUAGUCUCACUAUAAGAUGAGGUUUGCAUAGAACAGUUUUUCUUGUUCACGAUACAAAGAACAUCUAAGAACCGUUCAAGCAAGCAUGUUGAAUAAGCCAUGAACCAAAUAAAGUGCAGAAAUCCUAAAAGAAUUGGUUUGACCUGUGUAAUGCCCUGUUCAUUCAGCUACACUCGCACAUCUCCGUGGCAUUAUGCUCCUUCAAAGCCACAAAGCAUUGCUAUUGUGAAUGCAUCAAAACUGAUUGUCCUCCAUUUAUUUCUUCCAGGCCUUACGUUGAAAAGGGUAUGAAAUGUUCAAAUAUUGGAAAAAAAUAUUGGAUUUUCAAAAGAGCUCCAUGGGCUUUUUCAGCUGUGCAAAAGUUUCUCUAGGUCAUUUUUCAUCUAAUCUUUAUUUUUUUGUCAAGAGAAAGCACUAUCGAGUUCAGCCAAUCCUUGACACUGUCAGACAUGUCAGUAACUUAUUAUACAAAAGUCCUUACACCACCCCCUCUCCAAAAAAACUGUUGUGCCUUCUGUCUUUUGAUGAAAAUAGGAAAAUGUAUCAACCAGCAGAUUUUGUUUGAUGAGCUUGAUGCAUUUCAGGGAUGAUGCGUCCUCUGCACAGCAAUACGUUAUGCAAAUGUCUUCCAAAAAAUUAUUUUCUUUGACAAGUAGCUUGGUGUAUUAUUAUAUUGUUAUGAAAUGUCCUAUUGUAAACUCAAUAUUCAAAUGAUAAUUUAGUCUUUUAGUUAAGCACACGUCUUCAGCAGUACUCAUAAUCAAUGCUGAUAAACCCUGUACAUUCUGUUUGCUCAGGAUCAUUAACUAUUUGUAACGUACAGCAGCGAAGUGUUUUGACAAUGCUCUAUAUUUCAUCCAUUCCUAUGUCUAUGAAUCUGAGUCUGCUUUAGAAUAACGAGACCUGCACUAAAAGUGUAAUCUUGCUGUUCUACUUGUACUGUAGGUUUCCACAGCCCACACAUUCUCCAAUCAUUCAAUUUGGACUAGCAUUACUUAUGUUCUGUAUAUGGCUCUUCUAUAUCAUGGAUUAUGACUAUUUUUACAUUAAAUGUGUUCUGCUAUGCUUUGUCUCGGCGUGAAUGCUUCACGAUAUGCCAUAUGGACACAGAGCUGGUACACUAUAUGGCAUAAUCCAAAGUUUUGCUCAUUUAAAUUGUAAAUUGUACAAUGAAAAGCCACUAAGAAGCUUAAAAUAACUUUCUACUAAAACAUUUUGUCAGUCUGUUUUCUGAGUAAAGAACAUGCUGGAACUACUGACCAUCUGUUUUCUUUGUGAGUUAUACAAUACAGGAAAGGGAAGCGAACAGGUUUUAUUUUUACAUCCUGAUAACUUUAGGGGUAUUUUGAAGAUUAACAGAUAGUGGAAUGUUUUUCAGGGCCAUUUUAUUCAUGAGGCUUAUUGUAUGAGGCUCGGCCGUUUCUGAGGUAAUGAUUUUAAACGUUUUCAUAGAAACAGCUUGGCUAGAGUUGAGCAGGCUGUUCGAUAGAGGAGGUGGAAACCUGAAUUCAAACAUGACUCAUCUUGUCAUUAUCCAGCCAGACUCGCAAUUAAUUUUAAUUUCAAAGUUGAAUUCGGUAAUGGAAAUAACAUUUAACAAAGACUAACAGGAAAAUAAUGCCCCUAUUCUUCACUUGUCAGCGUGACUCAUUUGUCCAUGGUUUAUUCUGGAGUUUUUUACAUUUAUUUUUUAUUUUCUCUCCACCUCUCUGUUCUGUUAUAAGGACAAUCAUGUGGCCAGUGACACUUUAAUUCUUGAAAGUCCAAUAUCUUGAAAACUUGACUGUUGACAUGCAAAACAUUUUGGAUCUGUAUUAACAGUGCAUUAAUGAAAAAAAUACCCAAAUAUAGUUUGAGUCGAAUUUCCAUUUAAAGGUAGAACAGAGAAGCUUCUCAGACACCUAUGUCUGUAUUGUGCCUUUGGCAUGUAGUAUUGGCAAUUCCCUACCCGGAACCAGAGGGACUGUUCGGUUAGAUGAGGCUGUCAGAGGCAUGAUGGACCUCCAUAAUAUCUGUGGAAAUGAGACCAUGAACAGGACAUGUAUGUGAUUUAUUAGAGAAAAUGUCAUCCACGUUGGUGACAAAUCUACAGAUAAAAUCUACAUGAAAAUCUGUGAAAAGCUAGGCAUGGAAUUUGCUGUCUCUGUGAUAUGAGAAAAAAAGGAUCAAUACCUCUUCCAGUGCUCUUGGGGGCGCCUCUGAGCUACGUAACAUCUACAGUAUGUAUUCUGUAACAUUUUGUAAGCAUUUGAAAAUAUACAUAGAAACAUGAUUGCCAAAGUAUAAUAAA
ensembl:lncRNA